AAACGGACAAGAACAGAGAUAAUGAAAGCAGGAGAAUAACUACUCUGCAGACUCGAGGAUACAGACAAGAGAUUGUAUAUCAGUGUUUCAGUUAUUCUUGUGUCACCUUGUCACAUUUGGUUGUUAGGGUCAGCCAGUACAGCUGAAGGAGGUUUUCUAAGGCUGCAUGGAGGGUCAGCUAUUAGUGCUUUUGUUUAAUGCUUUUUAGUUUUUAUUAUUUAUUUACUGCCAUCAGUUUACCUUGUUUUAGAGGCAUUCACAGCAAUACUAACUCUAUACAGACUAGUUUUAUAGUCUGUUACCCAAACAGAUAAUCUGUGGAUAUGGGCCUACAGGGAACAGGGAAAUACAGUCUGUACAAACAGUCUGUCGAGUGAUCUGCUUGCCUCUUUUGUGAGGGAAAGACCCGACAGCAGAGUCACUGAGAAUGAGGGAACAACUCCAUGUGCUGAUUUAGGGUUUAAACAGCAACUUUAUUACAACUAGUGACAGGUGUUGUGUUAGCGUGAAUGACUAGAAAGGAAAAGCAUGGUGUAAGGAACAGUACAAAGAGCCCACAGACACCGCCAGUUGUCGUGGGGGGGUCGUAGCUGUCAUGGUAGCAGGGGGAGAGCUUACAGUUUUGUUGCACCUGAUCUGGGAAUAGGAGAAAAAACAAAAUACAUAAGUAAAGUAAAGUUUUUUCCCUGAGCUGUCACUUUUUUGCUUGAGAUAUAUGCAGAUAUGUUUUUUUUUUUUAAUUUAUUGAUUGGCAUUCAAAUAUCUCAGUGAAUACAGAAUAAAGAUCUACCACAAAGCAAGAAAGCACGAGACAUGACUAAUCAAAAGGUAUUGGCUGAAGCAUUUGCUUAUUACGCCAACCCUUUUAACAAAAGAUCUUUUAGCAUGCAGCUCAUGUACACAGGGCUUGAAGCAAAGAGUAAAACAAAACAAAACAAACAAACAAACAAACAAACAAACAAAAAACAAAACAAACUUUCCACCUUAGAUAAGUAACCACAUUAAAUUAAAUUUCAUGAACAUAAUCAAAGCAAAACAACCAAGAGUUUCAGUAUUAUUAUUUUGCUCCUUUCAUUCUCGAUUUAUAUAUAUUUUUCUAAUACUCUAUUUUAAACAUAUUUUUAAACAAAGAAAAUGAACUCCACCUUUUUAAAUCACUGUCAGAACUAUUCCACAAGUUAACUCCUCUAACAGAAGCACAUCUCUGCUUUAUGUUUGUCCUCAUCUUGUUUUUUUUUUUUUUUUUAAAGAAAUCUGUUCCCCUUAAGUCAUAUUGACUCUCUCUGACUUCAAACAGCUUCUGAGUACUGUGGCAAAGCAAGUUAUUUUGUGCUUUAUACAUUAUCUGUGCCAUUUUAUAUUCAACUAAAUCAUAAAAUUUCAGGGUAUUCAGAUUAAUAAACAAAAUGUUAGUUGGUUCUAUAUAGUUUGAGUGUUUUAUAAUUCUUAUAGCUCUUUUUUGUAACUUGAAAUUAGGAAGCGUAUUUGUUUUAUAUGCAUUACCCCAUGUCUCUAGACAAUAAGUCAUAUAUGGAAGCAUAUAUGGUAUGUCAUCACAUCGGUUCAAAACCAGAGAGUUUCUGUUAGCCCCCCUCAGAUGGUAAAAUGGGAAUUUAAUCUUCAGUGUUUA
ensembl:lncRNA